rnacentral:rRNA from 2 species
UAGGGGAGCCGUAGCGAAAGCGAGUGUUAACUGCGCGUCUAGUUGCUAGGUAUAGACCCGAAACCCGGUGAUCUAGCCAUGGGCAGGUUGAAGGUUGAGUAACAUCAACUGGAGGACCGAACCCACUAACGUUGAAAAGUUAGGGGAUGACUUGUGGCUGGGGGUGAAAGGCCAAUCAAACCGGGAGAUAGCUGGUUCUCCCCGAAAUCUAUUUAGGUAGAGCCUCGGACGAAUUCCAUUGGGGGUAGAGCACUGUUAAGGCUAGGGGGUCAUCCCGACUUACCAACCCUUUGCAAACUCCGAAUACCAAAGAGAACUAUCCGGGAGACACACGGCGGGUGCUAACGUCCGUCGUGAAGAGGGAAACAACCCAGACCGCCAGCUAAGGUCCCAAAAUAUUGCUAAGUGGGAAACGAUGUGGGAAGGCCCAGACAGCUAGGAGGUUGGCUUAGAAGCAGCCACCCUUUAAAGAAAGCGUAAUAGCUCACUAGUCGAGUCGGCCUGCGCGGAAGAUGUAACGGGGCUAAGCAAUAUACCGAAGCUGCGGCAGCAUGUUUACAUGCUGGGUAGGGGAGCGUUCUGUAAGCCGCUGAAGGUGAACUGUGAAGUUUGCUGGAGGUAUCAGAAGUGCGAAUGCUGACAUGAGUAACGAUAAUGCGGGUGAAAAACCCGCACGCCGGAAGACCAAGGUUUCCUGUCCCAUGCUAAUCAGGGCAGGGUAAGUCGGCCCCUAAGGCGAGGCAGAAAUGCGUAGUCGAUGGGAAACGGGUUAAUAUUCCCGUACUUAUAUAAUCAGUGAUGGAGGGACGGAGAAGGCUAAACAAGCUUGGCGUUGGUUGUCCAAGUGAAAGUGCGUAGGCUGAGAACUUAGGUAAAUCCGGGUUCUUAAGGCUGAGAGACGAGACGAGCCACCAAGGUGGUGAAGUUGUUGAUGCCCUGCUUCCAGGAAAAGCUUCUAAACUUAUGAUUAUGUAAACCGUACCCCAAACCGACACAGGUGGUCAGGUAGAGAAUACUAAGGCGCUUGAGAGAACUCGGGUAAAGGAACUCGGCAAAAUUGUACCGUAACUUCGGGAGAAGGUACGCCCCUGACUGUGAUGGAACUUGCUUCCUAAGCGGUCGGGGGUCGCAGUGACCAGGUGGCUGGGACUGUUUA